UACGGGGGGGUAAGCGUUGUUCGGAAUUACUGGGCGUAAAGGGCUCGUAGGCGGCCAACUAAGUCAUACGUGAAAUCCCUCAGCUUAACUGGGGAACUGCGUGUGAUACUGGAUGGCUUGGAUUUGGGAGAGGGAUGCGGAAUUCCAGGUGUAGCGGUGAAAUGCGUAGAUAUCUGGAGGAACACCGGUGGCGAAGGCGGCAUCCUGGACCAAUAUUGACGCUGAGGAGCGAAAGCGUGGGGAGCGAACGAG
rnacentral:rRNA from 1 species